rnacentral:other from 1 species
UUCUUCCUGCCUUGUGCGAUAAGCAUAGCACGUAUAACCCAACACUCUUUUUAAGGGAGCCCGGUCUCCGGCGGGGGACUGCAGACCUCCCGGCGGGGUUCCCGCCGGACGAAGGGAGCGCGAAACCGCAGGGCGGGCACCCACCUGGCAGCUUAGUUGGCAGGUUAUAAGAGGCUAUGUCCGGCUUGGCGGGAAUUUU